UUCUAUGUCGUCGUUAAUCUCAUGAAACUUGUUCAAAUCGAAUUCAUGUUUAACUUUGAAAUUGUUAACAUGAAAACCUUCUUCCGUCUUCAUCUUGUUUUGAAAAUAUUUUUUUUUUUCUAACAUCAACAUGAAGCUUUAUUAGAGUGAUGAUGUGUAAUCCUCAUGGAGGAUUUGUACAAGAAAAGUUGGUACAUAAGAAUGAGAUACAUAAGAAACAUUGCCAUUAUAAUGAGCUUUAGCUAGGCGAUCGGCUGCCUUAUUGCUUGUUCUGGUUGACCAUUGAAUGUUUUGACCAUUGCCAUUAUUGCUUGUUUUGAAAAUAUUUUAUGAAUUUGAAAAAAACAGAU